UACGUGUGGGUACAUGUGCAUGUGUGUGUGCACAUCCACACGCACAGGCACACGUCGUAUGCAUAGACAAGC
rnacentral:miRNA from 1 species